rnacentral:rRNA from 1 species
GGAGGCNCCGUAGCUGUNUACUAACACCACARUUMASAGCAAUGAUUAANAUUAUAGUAUUCUGAAUGAAAUNUGCCCGAUGCCAUUAAUAUAAGAGAGGUCAUCUAAAAGUGACUAAUCGAAAGUCUGGUUAAUAGCGGUCUUAACUAUGAGGAUCCAAAGGUAGCAAAAUCAGUUGGCCAUUAAAUGUGGUCUGGUAUCAAUAGUGUAACGAUGGUCUCACUGUCUCUACAACUUGCUCAGUGAAAUUGAAUUACCCGUGCAGAUNCGNAUUACCUCCAGGGG